CAAUAGCGUAUAUUAAAGUUGUUGCAGUUAAAAAGCUCGUAGUUGGAUUUCUGGCAGAGUGUCCUUUGGCCAGCAUGACGUUUGGUCCAGAGCGCUCUACCAUCCUUCUGUUAACCUUUACAGGAUUCGUUUUCUGCAUUGGGGCUCAGAUAUUUUACCUUGAGAAAAUUAGAGUGUUUAAAGCAGGCUUAAGCCGUUGAAUACAUUAGCAUGGAAUAAUAAGAUAAGACUUGGGUCAUUAUUUUGUUGGUUUGCGGAUCGAGGUAAUGAUUAAUAGGGAUAGUUGGGGGUAUUCAUAUUUAAUUGUCAGAGGUGAAAUUCUUGGAUUUAUGAAAGAUGAACUUAGGCGAAAGCAUUUACCAAGGAUGUUUUCAUUAAUCAAGAACGAAAGUUAGGGGAUCGAAGACGAUUAGAUACCAU
rnacentral:rRNA from 1 species